CACAAAUGUCACCAUCCAAACAAAACAAAAAUACCAAAAGAAAAUACAGAAGGAACUUUCCAAAAUACAUUGGUUAGUCCAGAUCUACAACUAUGGUGGUUUUGAGAAACCUUCUUCUUUCACUUCAUCUCAGCCCCUUCAGCUUCUUUCCAGCGAGGUAGUCACCCUUCGCGGCGAUUAACCGGAAUACCAACGACCCCAACAUCACUCAGAUCCAGCUCACUGGUGACUCGGGAGUUCUCAGUCAAAACCUAAUUUCGUGGAUAAACGGUAGCUCUUCUAUUUCAAAAUCAAUUUUGGGGAUUUCUUGUUAUAUCGAGUUUCACGAUAAAUUAUGGCUAUAAAUCUUCCGAAAAGCUUGGAAUCAAGUUAAUUUUUUUGUGUUAGAGCCUUGAGGUAUGUUUUUUUUUCCUUACAAAAUAGUAGAAGGAAUGCUUGAAUUUUAGAAUUUCUAUCUUCUCGAAUUUAUAUCGUUUUGGUUAUAUAGAAUAAUCACUCAAGAAAUUCUGAUUUGUAAAUUGUGUUUUCAUUUUGAAUUGAUGCAUCUUGUUGAUGCAAAGAGAAACAAUGAAAAAAAAUGUUCACAUGAAAAUGGAAUGGAAGACUAUAACAGGUUGACCUGCAAUCGGCCUCUACUAAAAUUGAGUUCAUUUUCCAAAUUUUAAAUGAAACAUUAGGUGACAGUACAUUUAUUUUGAUUUGCUUGUUAUAUUUUGAACUAACAUUAAUAUUUAAUUUACUUUCAUAUGUGUUUUUCAU